UACAGAGGCCUCAAGCGUUGUUCGGAUUCAUUGGGCGUAAAGGGUGCGCAGGCGGUCGGGUAAGUCGGAUGUGAAAUCCUGGGGCUCAACCUCAGAACUGCAUUCGAUACUGCUUGGCUAGAGGAUUGGAGAGGAGAGUGGAAUUCACGGUGUAGCAGUGAAAUGCGUAGAGAUCGUGAGGAAGACCAACGGCGAAGGCAGCUCUCUGGACAAUUCCUGGACGCUCAGGCACGA
rnacentral:rRNA from 1 species